CGCCGCCGCCGCCGCCGCCGCCGCCGCCGCCGCCGCCGCCCCUCCGCCUGCCUCGGGGCUGCCGGUGCCGGGCGGCGCCGAAGCCGCCCCGAGUCCGCGGCUCCGGAUUUUCCCAAGAGCACGAGGAAGAGCCUGGCCCGUGCGGGGGAUGCUGUCAGUGGCCGCGUUCUUCGUCUUCUUCAGGCAGUUGAGAAAAGCCAUUGCCAGAACUGACAUCUGACUGUUGUUUGCACUGACAUGCUGCUUGGACUUUCAGCCUUCAAAACUGCAGACAUGGCGGAUCUAUAUCUGGAGCUGAAGGCAGUAAGAAGAGAGAGAGACACUGGACCUGGCUUUAGCUUCGGAAACCUCAAAGCCCAUGCCCUGCGACACACUUCCUCCUACAAGGCCACUCCCUAUGACCUAUGGGGGCUGUUUUCAUUCAAACCAUCACACUGGGUAUGGUGUUAUUCAUUGAAACAUGGGUUUCUUACGAAAGCUCACACCACUGAAGAAAAGUGAUCCCUUCUCUCAUAGCAGCCCUUACCAGCUGCUAAUGGUUUCUCAACGAAGGGUAGAGCCUUAUGAGCCCUUCCCCCAUCUUUGCUGAAACGUCCGUGGGCUCCAUCUUGUACAGGUCUUGUGCAGACAAAAAUACAAACCCAGGUACAGAUAUUGGGGUUCGAGCUUCAAGCUGAAGAUCAGAGAAGCAAAGCAGGAAGGCCACUAGCUCUUCCUCUACCUUGGGCUGAAAGGGCUGUCCUCAGCAUGGCUGGAGAAUAAAUCUCUCCACCAAGCCUCAGACUGCAAUCCCAGACUGCUGCCUUUAUCUUUUAUACCUCUCAAAUCCUGGGAUUAAAUGUGUGUGAUCCCACAUGCUAAGAUCACCUUUGUGAACUGUUUCUCUUUCAGACUUGAUCAAUUUCAUGUAACUCAGUGUGGCCUUGAACUAACAGAGAUGCAUCUGCUUGUCUCUUGAGUCCUGAGAUUAAAGGUGUGUUCUUGGCUCUAUGGUUAACUAGUGUGGCUGCUGGGGUUAAAGGUGUGUAUCACCAUUUCCUAGCUCUAUGACUUGUGGCUAGUUUUGCUUUCUGUACCUUCAGGCAAGCUUCAAUAAAUCAUAAAUAAUAUAUCACCACAAUCUUUGUUGUAUUAUUUCAACUUAUUUGUAUUUAAAUGAAAAUAUUCAAUUCAUUUUUAAGAUAAAAAACUUUAAUGAUAUUUGUAUGUGUAUCUGUAGGAAAGGUGUGUGUGUGAGAGAGUUUAGUUGCCUGCAGAGGCCAGAGGUAUUAGAGCUGGUAAUCCCUGGAGCUGGAUUACAGGUUUUUAUGAACUUCCUGUCCCAGGUGGGUGCUGGGUACUGAACUUUGUUCCUCUGUAAAAGCAAUAUGUACUCUUAACCACUGAUUGAUUCAUCUUUCCAGUCCCUUAAACUUACAUUUUCACAACUUACUAUUUUAAAUUUUAAAAUGUAAGAUUGAAUGACACAAUAACAUUCCUGCUCUAUCCACAAAGUUUAACAAUUAUUAACCCAUUGCCAAAUUAAAAAAAUUUCUAUGUGUAUCUACAUAUUCAUUUUUGCUGAAGUAAUUGAAAUCAUUUGAAAUCUAACUGCUAAAUACUUAUUAUCCUACUUGUAAGGACAGGAAUGUUCUUCUUUACCAUAAGGGAAUCAAUUCUCCCAAUAAAGUUAAUGAUUUCAUAGUUUAAAAUCCAAUCCAUUGUAAAAUUCAUAGGUAAAAUUAAAGAAAUACCAGUUGACUCAUGUGACACAUGGAUGAACUCUGAAAACAUCAUGCUGAGUGAAAGAAGUUAAACAUAAAAGGCCAUAUGGUGUGGUUCUAUUUAUAUGAAAUUUCUAGAGUAGAAAAACCUAUAAAGAUAGAGAUCUUAGUGAUUGCCAGAGGCUGAGAGAACAGUGAUGUAUAAUAGCUACGAGACAACUAGUACAGGUUUGCUUUUGGAGUAAAUGAAAUGCGCUGGGAUUAUAUAUUGUGACCAUUGCAUGUCAUUAUGAGCAUGAAGCAAAAUCCCUACAUUUUCCAACUUCCGUUAAGAGUAUGAUGCUCAGUGAGUAAUCUAUGUGACUUGUUGAAAUCUCAGGGCAGCUGCCCUAAAAAGAGAAGGAAAUCAAAUGGAAAGUGGUAGGAAACAAGAGGGCUGAAAGGGAAGGUAGUCUUUCUUAUGAGUGUAACAUUAGAUUGCCAGGAAAGAAGGCCUGAGAGAGGUAUCAAGAUUUAUGUAUGAAAGGAGCCAGUGGGAAGAAACACUGUCAUGUAACAAUGCAUGUGUUUAAAAAGCACUCUAUGAAUGUCUUAAUCUGUUUGGCCUACACACCAUUUAGCCAUCGACUUCCUCUAGCCCUGGCCAGCUUCCAACCUCAGAGGUGCUUUUCUUCCAUUAAAAAAAACAAAAACAAAAACAAAAACAAAAAAACUAUAUCUGUUUCUGCCAAUACUCACUUAUCCGUAGUCUAAUGUCUUGUAUGAGACACAAGAACAUGCAUAUAUCAACAGGCCCCCUCUGUAGCCUGAAUCCUAGUCUAUAACGGUAGUAUUACCUUGACACUAGGAUAUUCAAGUAUUCUGGCUAGAUGUGGCAUUUAUGGUUUUAGAAGACUUACUGUGUGUGUAACAAAAUCUUUGAGUACUUCAGUUCCUUAUGUGGAGGGACAAGUAAGACUGACCAAGCCAGCCGGGUGGUGGUGGCGCACACCUUUAAUUCCAGCACUCGGGAGGCAGAGGCAGGUGGAUCUCUGAGUUCAAGACCAGCCUGGUCUACAAGAGCUAGUUCCAGGACAGCCACAGAGAAACCCUGUCUAGAAAAAACAAAAAACAAAAAACAAAAAACAAAACAAAAAAAAAGACUGACAAAGCCCCUGUACCAGCAGGAGAGGGUUUGUAUAGUUCAUAGGUUCUCUGGUUCCCCAUGGACAUCCCAGUGUACCACUGAUACUUAAUGCAAGGAAACACUCAUCACCAUGACUACAGAAGUAUCAGCUGACCUCUCAGACAGAAGAUUUGAUUAAAUGGAAAAGUGGACAGCACUGCUUGUGAGACUGUUAGGUUGCCUACCUGACAAAGAAAACAACAGGCAUUUUAUCUGGUGUUGGAGUAGUCCAAAAUCUGGAUAACAUAAGGACAAGAAGAAGAGAAUCAUUCCAGACACUGUUGGCUAAGAGUAAGAGAUUUUUGGUUAGGAACUGGUUCUGAAUUCAGUACAGGGAGAUCAGUGGCUUCUUAUCCCUAUGAGGGGCUAUUCUGUUUUACAACCAAGACUGAAGACUAGUCAUAGGAACUAAGUGACAUAUCAAAAACAGAAUCCUCAUAUCAAAGAGAAUAAGAGAUGGUUUAUUCUGGAGCUAAGAAGCAGUGACCAUUGCCUAGAAACACAUAUUUAGGCAAUCCCAGAUAUGCCCAAGCAAGUCACAUAAGCAUCGAAUUUUCUCCUACCAAUAUUCCAUUCUGAACAAGAAGACUUACCACAUAUCAGAGACACAGAUGUGUCUGGCAACUUGAAUAUGGGAUGGUGAUGCCCACUGAUUUCUGCUGACAGAAGCUGCAUGGCAGACCCCUUCCAUACUCUAUUCAGUUAUGUAUGACCUCUGCUUGAAAGAACUUCAGCAGCUAUGAUGACAGCCUCGUGGAUGACAAAAUCUACAUCUUCAUGUCAAGCUAAUUUUGGGAAACGUUUCAUCAUUUAGCUUCCCAGUGUGAAGGACAUUAAUAAUUCAGUGAUUCGUAUACAUUUCCAUUCAUUUCUCAGGCAAAGUUAUUUGCAUUGCAUACAGAUGGUGCAGGGUGGAGGGGCUCAGAAGGCCUGAGUUUUGGGUCAGGGUUGUGAUAUCGAGGUAUCUCUUUCACACUCUCUAUAUAUUAUCUUUUUAGAUUUUCUGUGCUUUCGGCAGCAGAGAACAGUUGACGGAAGUAGUACUAUUUGUUAGCAGCUACACUUCCCAACGUUACAGGCCUGUGCUCACUCUGUCUGGGUUGUUGAAUAAUCUUUAUUUUUAAAGCUUUCUUUCUAUACUUUUUGAUGUUAGAAUGUGGCUUAAUAAAAAUAUUUUUUCUGGGUUGCAACAAAUAUUUUUUAAAUGCAGAUUUUCUAAGGGAAGAUGGCAGAGAUUAAGUCUCUUGGGAGCCACCCAUCUGUGAAAAAAUAUUUCUGUUGGAUUAGAGCUCUGACAGUUGCAAAAUGAUUGCUGCUGCAAACCAUUUACUUUGUCUCUUUGGACAAAAUAAAUUGUUUCCUAAUUGGAGUUUCAUCAUGACAUGCUCUGAAAAAUGUGGUAGCCAUAGUUUCCUCUUGGCUUACAGAGAUGACAGAAAGUUGUUUACUUUUACAAAAAACAUUUCUCUAUCAACCACAUUACAAGAUGUACUCUAAGGAGUACUUUCCUACUGUUUGUGCACAUUAACAUAUGCUAUAUGUUUUUCAAUAAUUUAAAAGAAUUAAUAAAAAU
ensembl:lncRNA